UCAAACUUGGUCAUUUAGAGGAAGUAAAAGUCGUAACAAGGUUUCCGUAGGUGAACCUGCGGAAGGAUCAUUAACGAGUAACGGGGUUUCUUUUCAAGAGCCCCUACUCCCACACCAUGUGUACCUUACCUUUUCGUUGCUUUGGUGGGCCGCACCGGUAAAACGGGGCGCCGAUCGCUCGGAGAGCGCCCGCCAGAGGACCAACCAAAACUCUUUUGUAAACAGAAUUUUCUGAGUUAAUUUCUUAAUUGAAUUAAAACUUUCAACAACGGAUCUCUUGGUUCUGGCAUCGAUGAAGAACGCAGC
rnacentral:misc_RNA from 1 species